ACUCCUACGGGAGGCAGCAGUGGGGAAUAUUGCACAAUGGGGAAGCCAUCGAUGCAGCCAUGCCGCGCUGUGUGAAGAAGGCCAAUUCGGGCUUGGUUAAAGACACUUUCAGUAGGGAGGAAGGUAGUGUAGUUAACACCUGCACUAUUUGACGUUACCUACAGAAGAAGCACCGGCUAACUCCGUGCCAGCAGCCGCGGUAAUACGGAGGGUGCGAGCGUUAAUCGGAAUUACUGGGCGUAAAAGCGCAUGCAGGCGGCCUGUUAAGUCAGAUGUG
rnacentral:rRNA from 1 species